AAAGGAUGGUUCUGCUAUCACUCUUGGAUGGACCCUGCGGUGCAUUAGCUAGUUGGUAAGGUAACGGCUUACCAAGGCAAUGAUGCAUAGCCGAGUUGAGAGACUGAUCGGCCACAUUGGGACUGAGACACGGCCCAAACUCCUACGGGAGGCAGCAGUAGGGAAUCUUCCACAAUGGACGAAAGUCUGAUGGAGCAACGCCGCGUGAGUGAAGAAGGGUUUCGGCUCGUAAAGCUCUGUUGGUAGUGAAGAAAGAUAGAGGUAGUAACUGGCCUUUAUUUGACGGUAAUUACUUAGAAAGUCACGGCUAACUACGUGCCAGCAGCCGCGGUAAUACGUAGGUGGCAAGCGUUGUCCGGAUUUAUUGGGCGUAAAGCGAGUGCAGGCGGUUCAAUAAGUCUGAUGUGAAAGCCUUCGGCUCAACCGGAGAAUUGCAUCAGAAACUGUUGAACUUGAGUGCAGAAGAGGAGAGUGGAACUCCAUGUGUAGCGGUGGAAUGCGUAGAUAUAUGGAAGAACACCAGUGGCGAAGGCGGCUCUCUGGUCUGCAACUGACGCUGAGGCUCGAAAGCAUGGGUAGCCCACAAAGUUAGAUACCCUGGUAGUCCAUGCCGUAAACACCCCCAAAGGGUGUUGGGAGGUUUCCGCCUAUCAGUGCUGCAGCUAACGCAUUAAGCACUCCGCCUGGGGAGUACGUCCGCAAGGUUGAAACUCAAAGGAAUUGACGGGGGCCCGCACAAGCGGUGGAGCAAUGUGGUUUAAAUUCGAAGCAACGCGAAGAACCUUACCAGGUCUUGACAUCCAGUGCAAACCUAAGAGAUUAGGUGUUCCCUUCGGGGACGCUGAGACAGGUGGUGCAUGGCUGUCGUCAGCUCGUGUCGUGAGAUGUUGGGUUAAGUCCCGCAAAGAGCGCAACCCUUGUCAUUAGUUGCCAUCAUUAAGUUGGGCACUCUAAUGAGACUGCCGGAGACAAACCGGAGGAAGGUGGGGAUGACGUCAAGUCAUCAUGCCCCUUAUGACCUGGGCUACACACGUGCUGCAAUGGACGGUACAACGAGAAGCGAACCUGCGAAGGCAAGCGGAUCUCUUAAAGCUGUUCUCAGUUCGGACUGUAGGCUGCAACUCGCCUACACGAAGCUGGAAUCGCUAGUAAUCGCGGAUCAGCACGCCGCGGUGAAUACGAACCCGGGCCUUGCACUCUCCGCCCGUCA
rnacentral:rRNA from 1 species